rnacentral:rRNA from 1 species
AACACAUGCAAGUCGGGCGGUAGCACAGAGGAGCUUGCUCCUUGGGUGACGAGCGGCGGACGGGUGAGUAAUGUCUGGGGAUCUGCCCGAUGGAGGGGGAUAACUACUGGAAACGGUAGCUAAUACCGCAUAAUCUCGCAAGAGCAAAGUGGGGGACCUUCGGGCCUCACACCAUCGGAUGAACCCAGAUGGGAUUAGCUAGUAGGUGGGGUAACGGCUCACCUAGGCGACGAUCCCUAGCUGGUCUGAGAGGAUGACCAGCCACACUGGAACUGAGACACGGUCCAGACUCCUACGGGAGGCAGCAGUGGGGAAUAUUGCACAAUGGGCGCAAGCCUGAUGCAGCCAUGCCGCGUGUAUGAAGAAGGCCUUCGGGUUGUAAAGUACUUUCAGCGGGGAGGAAGGCGAUG